rnacentral:rRNA from 1 species
GACGAACGCUGGCGGCGUGCUUAACACAUGCAAGUCGAACGGAAAGGCCCUGCUUUUGUGGGGUGCUCGAGUGGCGAACGGGUGAGUAACACGCGAGUAACCUGCCCUUGACUUUGGGAUAACUUCAGGAAACUGGGGCUAAUACCGGAUAGGAGCUCCUGCUGCAGGGUGGGGGUUGGAAAGUUUCGGCGGUUGGGGAUGGACUCGCGGCUUAUCAGCUUGUUGGUGGGGUAGUGGCUUACCAAGGCUUUGACGGGUAGCCGGCCUGAGAGGGUGACCGGCCACAUUGGGACUGAGAUACGGCCCAGACUCCUACGGGAGGCAGCAGUGGGGAAUAUUGCCCAAUGGUCGGAAGCCUGAUGCAGCAACGCCGCGUGCGGGAUGACGGCCUUCGGGUUGUAACCCGCUUUCGCCUGUGACGAAGCGUGAGUGACGGUAAUGGGUAAAGAAGCACCGGCUAACUACGUG